UAGUGGUGAUCAUAAAGAGUCUGCCUGGCCUCCCAUCGAGAACAAGUCUUGCCUGACAAAAUAGCUCCAUUUCUUUUUGUUAAGGGACUGCCAGUCUCAGAGAUCAGAGAAAUGGUAUAGAUAAAAUUUAUCUGGAGUUUAGCAAACUCUUUCAUUCAGUGUCUCAUACUAAAAUUGUAGAAAACAUGGAAGUAUAUAGGCCUGAAGGCAAGACAGUUAGAUUGAAUGGCCCAACUUAAAAAGCAACUUUUAUUAACUCCAGGUCAACUUGGAAGGAGAUCUCCAGGGUCAUACCCCAGAAACCCCUAAAAAGAAAGACAGCAGCCAUGGCUCCAUGAUCUCACCUGGCGCUCCAUCUGCCCUUGGCACUCAGUCUUCAUGGUUUUUACUAGUGUUUCCAGACGUUGCACUUCCAUGUUCCUGUCAUCCAAUUCCCGGCGUAGAUGAUCAAUGUACAUAGUCCUACCAGCAAUUUCUGAAGUUGAUCAUCCAGGUUUCCAGAUUCCUGACUGAAUUGAUCACGCUCAGUGCGGGCCUCGGUCAGUUCUGAGUUGGCCAAGACUAACUGCUUCUCAAGAUCUUCUAUCUAAAGGGUAAGCACAAAAGAACUGGAACCUUAUUGCCUCAGUGACUAAUAGAAAAAAAAAUCAGUCAUCAAUAUUGUCCUUUGAAUAAAAUGAAUAAGUUAAGA